GUCAAAUUUUGAUUAAUUUGCUAAGUUCGCUUUUGAACUCAUAAUUUUUAAGCUUCCACAUACAUGCAGUGUCGCCAGACAUAUGGGAUGCCCUUUGAAGGUCCUUUAUAGCAUUAUCCUUAUUAGCCUAUGAAGCAUUGACACUCCUUGGCAUGUCCCCUUGUCUAACAAGGGGGGCACGCAGAGGACACAGCAAAAUACGUAUGGGACACGCCACGUGGCGUUGUCUAACAAAUUUAAUUAAUUUCUAUAGGUGGACACGGGAGGGACACUAAUGGGGUCACAACAAGGGUUAAAUAUGCAAAUUAUUAUUUUUUUUGGGUGGCUGUGUUAGGAUUAGGGUUUCUUUUUGGUUGGGCUUGUCCCUUUAGGUGUUUGGACUUUGGCCCUUAAGGUUGUGGACUUGUCCCAUUGGGUUUUCUUGAUUGGUAUCUUGCCAAUCGAGGGUUUGGGUCUCGAAUUGGGCAUAGGAUUUUUCUUAGCUUUGUUAGAAAUUUGAUGUCGUUCUCCUUGUUCCUGUUGGUCUUUGUAACAAUUCAAAAAAAAAAUGAAAUUUUCUUGCCGUUAAAAAAAAAAUGCAAUUUUUUUAAAUUUAUUUUGGGGUAAGUGUGCAUUACUUCAAAUAUUUUGGGUUGUGUAAUAUGAUGUAUAUAUGAUACUUGUUUGUAUAUAUUGAAGCUUCAUGCUGGUUUACGUCUAAUUAUAUUUCCAUAGAUAUAUAAUAUGGAUUUAGUUAUUUCUAUCGUGCCCACCCCCCCCACCCAUUACAUGUCCCAUUUCUUUUAAGAAAUCCAUUGUUUGCGUCCAUAAUGUUUAGGAAAUCCCGUGUCAAUGUCCGUGUUUGUGCUACAUAAGUAUUAAGCGAACAAAAUUUGUUAAUCAAGAGAAAGUUAAGGUAAUCUUAACACCAACGAAAUUUGCUUAUGUUAAUAAUUUAUUACCAUAUUCUCUCAAGUUUCUUGGGUUCAUCAUUCUAUUUUUUUCGGGUCAAAUUUUGAUUAGUUUGCUUUUGAACUUACAAUUUUUAAGCUUCCACAUACGCGCAGUCUUGCCAGACAUAUGGGAUGCCCUUUGAAGGUCCUUUAUAGCAUUAUCCUCACUAGCCUGUGAAGCAUCGACACUCCUAGAGGCUGGCGUAUCCCCUUGUCUAACAAGGGGGCACACAGAGGACACGGCAAAAUACGAAUGGGACACGCCAUGUGGCGUUUAAUAAAUUUAAUUAAUUGCUUUAGGUGGACACGGGAGGGACACGUAUAGGGUCACACAACAAGGGUUAAAUAUGCAAUUUUUUUUUUGGUGGUUGUGUUAGGAUUAGGGUUUCUUUUUGGUUGGGCUUGUCCCUUUAGGUGUUUGGGCUUCGGCCCUUUAGGUUGUGGACUUACCCCAUUGGAUUUCCUUGAUUGGUCUAUUGCCAAUCGAGGGUUUGGGUCUUGGAUUGGGCAUAGGAUUUUUCUUAGCUUUGUUAGAAAUUUGAUGUCGUUCUCCUUGUUCCUAUUGAUUUUUGUAACAAUUUCAAAGAUUAAUGAAAUUUUUUUGCCGUUUUUUAAAUUUUUUUGGGCAAGUGUGUAUUACUUCAAAUAUUUUGGGUUGUGUAAUAUGAUGCAUAUAUGAUACUGGUAUAUAUAUAUUGAUGCUUCAUGCUGGUUUACCGUCUAACUAUAUUUCCACAGAUAUAUAAUAUAAAUAUUCUAGAUUUAGUUAUUUCUGUCGUGUCCCCUCCCGUGUACAUGUCACUAUUUUGUGAGAAAUUCGUUGUCUGUGACCAAAAAGGAAUAAGAGCAUAACAAAUUGGGAUGGAGGGAGUAUCUUAUUAUUUUCCUUAUUGAUUUUGACUCUAGAAAACAUGAAUACAGACGCACACACACGUAUAUAUAAGCGUGGCUUUCAAUACGAUGAUCUAAAACACUACCAUGUGUCACUUCAGAAGUUGGCCAAGUGUCCAUAGUUUCAUCAGUCUCAUUCCUGUCAUCUAUGUAGCACGGAUACAGAUACGGGACAUGGAAUUUCUUAAAAAAUGAGGACACAAACACGGCAGAGGACAGGGGAAAAAAAAAUUUUAUUCUACAUGAAGCUUCAAUAUAUGUAAACAAGCAUCAUAUAUAUACAUCAUAUUACACUUUUAACCAAAAAUAUUUGAAAUAAUACGCAUUUACCCCCCAAAAAUUAAAAAAUUGCAUAUUUCACCCCUGCCGUGUUCCCAUACGUGUCCCCAUUGUGCCAAUCGUGUGUCCCACUAAAAAAAUUAAUUAAAUUUAUUGGACGCGCCGUGUGGCGUGUCCCACACAUAUUUUGCCAUGUCCCACACAUAUUGCCAUGUCGGACACAUGACACGCUGGCCUUUAGGAGUGUCGAAGCUCCAUAGCCUAUCAUUGUCAUUGUUGCCAAAACAUGUGCAACCCCAAGGUUUUUUGAAAUAAUUCUCUCAUGUCUAGUCAAUCUUUGAUUUAAGUGAGCUUAGUACCUACUUGGAUAUUUUGCUUGCUCAAUAUAUUGUUACACUUAAAGUAACAUACAUAUUUCAAGGUUUAAAGGAGCUCAUAAAACUUUUAUUUAACAUUGUUCUCACUCUCUCUUUUAUAAUUAUUAAACUCAAAAAUUGAAACUGUAAAUGCUUACGCAUCAAUAACCCAAGAUGUACACCUCGCCUCAUGACAAAUAAAACGCCUUGCAUUGUACCUUCACCUUUAAAAACAUUGGCUUCGAGUAGUUUUUUUUUCUCCCUUUAUCGAGGUAAGUUGGUUUGGAGUGGUUAUA